UGUAUACAAUUAUAACACAUGCAGUUAUGUUCAGACAUAAUACUUGAUAAUAAUGGUGACCUAAGUGUACAAUGGUGUGCAGCAAUGUCCUAGGCCUUCAUGUGGACUCACCACUCACUGACUCCCGGAGCCACUUCUGGUCCUGCAAUCUUCAUUCAUAUAAUCACCAAAGAGCAGUUUUUGGCUGAUGGACACUGAAGUCAGAAAGAUCAAUAACAAUGAAGAACUUGAGUCAAGUUCCUGGUGCCUUUCCUGCCAUCACUUCUAAAUUAGCCUUUUUUUUUUAUGCAUCCAGGUAACGCAUGGGCUUUUAAUCCAAGAUUAAAAACAUCUGUGAGAGGAAUGGUCAAACAGUCUUGGAACGCUUAGUCGAAUUCACGGGAACUCCAUCUGGGACUGGUGAUAGUCCUUUCAUAUCUUUCAUUGUUCCUAGCACCUCCACAGAUCAAAGUUCUCUCCAUAAUCCUUUCUUUCCACCAUGGCAUAUUUACCUAUUUUAUAUCAAAAUAUAUAAUCUUUACCAUCUGGUUUCAUAGGAGAA